rnacentral:miRNA from 1 species
UUUGUUGCAAUUUGGACUACC